AUUGAACGCUGGCGGCAGGCCUAACACAUGCAAGUCGAACGAGUGGCGGACGGGUGAGUAAUGUCUGGGAAACUGCCUGAUGGAGGGGGAUAACUACUGGAAACGGUAGCUAAUACCGCAUACCAUCGGAUGUGCCCAUAGGGGAUUAGCUAGUGGGUGGGGUAAUGGCUCACCUAGGCGACGAUCCCUAGCGGGUCUGAGAGGAUGACCAGCCACACGGGACCUGGGACACGGUCCAGACUCCUACGGAAGGCGGCAGUGGGGAAUAUUGCACAAUGGGCGCAAGCCUGAUACACCCAUGCCGCUUGUAUGAAGAAGGCCUUCGGGUUUUAAAGUACUUUCAGCGGGGAGGCGUUACCCGCAGAAGAAGCACCGGCUAACUCCGUGCCAGCAGCCGCGGUAAUUC
rnacentral:rRNA from 1 species